rnacentral:rRNA from 1 species
UACAGAGGGUGCGAGCGUUAAUCGGAAUUACUGGGCGUAAAGCGCGCGUAGGCGGCUUUGCAAGUCGGGUGUGAAAUCCCCAGGCUCAACCUGGGAACUGCAUUCGAGACUGCACUGCUAGAGUAUGGGAGAGGGAAGUGGAAUUUCCGGUGUAGCGGUGAAAUGCGUAGAUAUCGGAAGGAACAUCAGUGGCGAAAGCGACUUCCUGGACCAAUACUGACGCUGAGGCGCGAAAGCCAGGGGAGCAAACGGG